GCGAGAUGAAACCCCCGGUGUUGGUAAGCGGGUAUCAAGGGAGCGGCGAGGGCCUGGGCCUCACGCUUCUUGGUCUAGGCGGCUGGAAAGCAAGACACGGCAUCCCCUUUUGGACAUGGGGGAGCAGCAUGGCACUUCUAGUACCGACUGUGUACGUCCUGUGGACCUCCCUCUUUGCUCGGCUCCUUGACCACCCUGAGCUUCCGCAAACCUCCUUGCUAGCUAAUAGGAUCUUCCCCUCACCUGGCCUUGCUUGGCUAAAGCUAGUGGGAAGGGGGCGGUGGUGCAGACUACCUGUGUUACCUUGGUCAGAUCACCUAAACACCCUCUACCUUUGGCUGUCAUAUCCCUAUCUUAAUCUCUGCUCUGCCCACCUUCCCGGGUUACCCUUACCCCCCACAGCUCCAGAGAGCAACAUUCACAGACAACACAGUGUGAAUGGAGUGGGGCCUAGUGAGCAAUCAGAAGCACUCUGUAGACUAUAACUACUGUAAAACACCUUGUGUUUAAACGGCUCUUGUAGCAGUUAUCAUGAAAUGGGGAUCUCCAUGGGCAGGAACCAUGUCUGACUCACCUCUGGAACCCAGGGCCCAUCACAGGGCUUGGCCCGGUGUAAGCAUCAAUAAGUGUUCUUGGAACUGAGCUACCUAGGCAGAGGAAAACAGGCAGGCUUGAGCAGUGAGAAACAGUAUUGUGGCUCCAGGCUGCUGGAAUUUCCCCAGCACAAGACCACCUCCAGGAGACACCAUGUUCCCUUGCCAGACAAGUGCAAACAGAACAGUUUGCCUCCCCAAACCUGCAGAUUAUUAUUAUUUUUUCUCUACUCUACUUCUUGCCAUGUGAUCCUACUCUCAGCCCUUUGGUGUUUACCAGGUAUUGUCCUACCUGGCAGCUCUCUUAGCUCUCUCUUCAGAAUUCAAUCAACUUCCUGUAGAUGAACUUUCCAGCAAAAGCUGUUCCUACCCAGUUUGCAAGGCCCAGUCAGCUUGUACUCUCAGAGGGCCAGCACUCCACUCUGAUGGAAAUCUGCCUGUGAUGCCAGCCUGGGGAGUGCCCUUCACACGUGAUCUCAUCUAAGCCUGGCUUGACAGGUAUGUAUUGUAUCAUCAUCCCAUUUCACAGAUGUGGAAACUGAGACCAGUGAGGUAAAGCAACUGGUCAACAUCACAUGGUUAGUAAGUAUCAGAGUCCGGAUUUGAGCCAGAUCUGGUUCCAGAAUCUACAUGCCUAAACACUAUGUGCUGGGGCCUCUACAGCACUGCCCAUGCCUCUAGGGUACUUGACAGGUCAAGUCUAACCCUGAAAGAGCUGCUCUAGGCCUGACCCACUCCCAGUCCAUCCAAACAGUCUGUCAAGCUCAGGCCAGGGCACUGUAAGGGAGAGGAGACUCCACUGGCCUGGCCCUACCUUAUUUAGAAGAGUGAUACAGGAAACCCAAGGCAGUGAGGAGCUUCAGGAAGCAGUGUUACAUCUGUCCCCACCUUAACUACACUGGACAUAAAGCCUCUUGCUAUUGGCCUGGACCUGAGACACCCAUGUGGUGGAUAGAGAUGGAGACAGAGUCAUUCAUUCAUUUAACAAACCCUACUCCGAACCAAAUGUGGUUCCUGCACUCAUGUAACUUAUAAUGCAACAGAUGAAUAAUCAGAAGUACACAAUGCUGUCCAGACAUGGUGGCUCAGGCCUGUAAUCCCAGCACUUGGGAGGCUGAGGUGGGCAGAUCACCUGAGGUCAGGAGUUCAAGACCAGCCUGGCCAAUAUGGUGAAACCCCGUUUCUACUAAAAAACACAAAAAAUCAUCUGGGCAUCAUGGCACAUGCCUAUAAUCCCAGCUACUCAGGGGGCUGAGGCAGGAGAAUUGCUCGUACAGCGAGACUCCAUCUCAAAAAAAAAAAAAAAAGGAAGAAGAGGAAGAAGAAGAAGAAGACCACAGUGCUUUGGGAGCUGUAUUCUUUAUUACUCUUUUUUUUUUUUUUACAGUUUUAUCACCUUACCAAUAGCACAACAUUCUCCCUUCAGAUUAAAACAAGCUUAAUGCUAUUUCAGGAGCACUGUGGGCCAACCAAGUUUAACAAAGAUAGCAUUGCUCAGCACAGAAGUUCAAGCAACUUAAAAAUUAGAACUUACCAAUGCAUUCCCAGAACCUCUGCCUCCUCUCCCCUACCCUACUCCCAAUCUUUUUAACUCAGGGGGCUCAGAUAAGAAAGACUCUUGCUAGGUGGGUGCAUCUGAGGGCUGAGAGGUGAGCUUUUCCUUGGACGCAGGGCAACCUGGGAACUGAGAAGGGUUAACUGCAUGGAGGGAGAUAAACCUGGGGACUUCUUGAGCCAGUGGCCAGAGCCACUCACCACCUCACACAAGCCACCCUUGCUGACCAUCUUCCUGGAGAGAGAAGAGGAAUGGGUUAAGGAUGUCACAACUCACCUUCCUCUGGACUAAGCAGUCACCAUGGGAUGUCCUGCUGGGCUGUGACUAUGUCUAGGAGUUAUACAGCUCAGCUCUUCAAAUGAAAGAUCUAAAGUUAGGGCAAACUUUAGAGGAAUAUUUAUCGAAUCCCUUACCUAGCAGAUGAAAGAAAAGAAGAGGCCAGGCAUGGUGGCUCAUGCCUGUAAUCCCAGCACUUUGGAAAGCUGAGGUGGGUGGAUCACUUGAGGUCAGGAGUUCAAGACCAGCAUGGCCAACAUGGUGAAACUCCGUCUCUACCAAAAAUACAAAAAUUAGCUGGGUGUGGUGGCACACGCCUGUAAUCCCAGUUACUUGGGAGGCUGAGGCCAGAGAAUUCUUGAACCCAGGAGGUGGAGGUUACAGUGAACCGAGAUCACACCACUGCACUCCAACCUGGGCGACAGAGCAAGACUCUGUCUCAAAAAUAGAAAAAAGAAAG
rnacentral:lncRNA from 1 species